AGGUUCUCUGUCUGCAUUUUGGAAAGUGGAAACAAGAACAUAGAAACAGGUGAAAUUCUCUUCUCUCUUAGUGAUAUUUACAUAGAAGACUUCUUUACACCAUGAAGCCAUUUUAUGCUUUCUUCUUCAGUCUCUUGGUAGCACUCCUGAUUGCUCCAGGAUCCACAAAUCUUAUUACUGGUUCUAUAGCAUGUAUAGAGGCUGGUGGCAAAUGUGAGUCAGAGGACAUAUGUUAUUUUUCCAAAACAAUUGGCACCUGUGGUAAAGUGCCUUGCUGUAAAGGUAACAAAUGGGAUUGAAAAGGAAAAGACCAUUGUGCUGAAUGGUGGCUCUGGACCAUUUUUGCUCUGAGAGAUGUAGCAGAAACAGGAAUGAGAUCCACCCCUGAAUCACUGCAAAGACUGCAC